UCUAUUUAUUUCUUUACUGUUGGUUGAGAAUAAAAAUUGGUUUUCUGUUUCCAUCCCAUAAAAUUCCCCUUUUCAUUGCAUAUUCCUGUAAUUUGAUGGUCAUCAUCUUAAGAUAUAGUUUUAUGUGAUGGGGUUGAUGAAGCUUAAGGGGGUGCCUUUCUACACUUCUUUGUGUCACCAAAAAAUUAACCCUGUGCCCUAUAGAUUAGACUGUCAAAUUCGGUGGUACUUCCUCAUCUCUGAUGCGAUAAUGAAUAUUUUGGGUUCAAUAUUUGCAACUUGUGCAGAUAAAACUAAACUCCCUACUAUUCUGUUACAAUUAGGAGGUUCUUUCCGUAAUUUGUAAAUGGGGGAGGAUUGGUGAAGGGGAAUCAUAAAAUUAAAAUGCCACUAGGUCUCAUUCUUGAGUCAUGAGGGAAAUUUUAGCAAAAUGCACAGUUCCUUAAUCAAGAAAUUGACCUAGUUUUCUUCAAUGCUGGAUUUAUUUGACAAAAAUUAUCAAAUAAUUUCAACUUUCUUAGACCAUUGACAGAGUUAUGAGAAUAUGGAUUUUGGUUACUUGGUUUUAGAGAAGAAAACAGUUAUGUUUGCUGGAAAUCUAAUAAAGUAUCAAUUGUUCUUCCCUCUCGUUGUCGUCACAAACAAGAAGCGAGGCUAACAAAGAUAGAUUUUCUGCAAUAAUUAAGUAGAAUAUUGGAAGGUGUGAAAAGAUUCAGAGAUAGUCAGGCAUCUACUCAUUCACAGCAAGAUAGCAAGACAGUGUUGGGAACUAUUUUAGACUUGUUUGGUGUCAAGUGAGAAAUGCCUCCCAGUGUUAAGAGCUUAUGGAAGACAUGGCAACAUAAAAAAGGGGAAAAGGGUCAAAUUUACCCUCCAAGUAUGGUUUAUAGAUGGAAUUUGCCCUCCGUUAGAGUUAGGGGUCAAAUUUGCCCCUCCCGUUAACAUACUUGUUAAAAUUGCCCUUAUUAUGGAUGGAAGUAUGACUAGGACUCCUUAUCAGUCCACAUAGGCACCAUGUGUGUAAAUAAAUUUAUUUUUUCACUAAAUCUUAGUGUAAAAACCAUACCAAUUAAAUUUUGUCAUGUAUUUUAUUUUUUUAUAAAAAAGAAUACAAUAUCUAAUCUUCUUCUCCAUCAAACCACCACUUCCCCUUCUUCUUCUCCGCUACUGUCAUCACCGUCCACGGCCCUCUACCGUUGUCCAUUGGCGCCGAUUAAUUUACUAAAAAUAACCCAUUACUUUCCAACCUUUUUACCCAAACCCAUUACUUCUCCAAAAUCUGAAGAGGUAAAAGGUUUGGGUAAAAUCAAAUUUAUCAAUCAAGCUUUGGCCCUUGAUCAAUUGCUACUGUCAUUUCCCCUUCAAAAUUUGUUUUUUUUGCAUUCCACCAUCAACCGUUUCAAUGGAUUUUCAAUAAUCAAUAGCGGGUUAACUUUUGUAUUUUCAAUAUUCUUGGAAUUGAUUUGAGAGUGAAAAAAAUGAAGUUGGUUGGAAGAGAGAUAGAGAUGGAGAAGUAAUGGGUUUGGGUUAAAAAGUUGGAAAGUAAUGGUUUUUGUUUUAGUAAAUUAAUCGGCGGCGGUGGACGGCGAUGAAAUUUGAUGGAGAAGAAGAUUAGGUAUUGUAUUUUUUUAAUAAAAAAAAGAAAAUACAUGAAAAAAUUUAAUUGAUAUGGUAUUUACACUAAGAUUUAAAGGAAAAAACAAAUUUAUAUACACACAUGACGCCUAUGUGGACUGAUAAGGAGUCCUAGUCAUACUUCCAUCCAUAAUAAGGGCAAUUUUAACUAGUAUGUUAACGGAAGGGGCAAAUUUGAAACUCUAAUGGAGGGAAAAUUUAAUCUAUAAACCAUACUUGGAGGAUGAUUUGACCCUUUUCCCUAACAAAAAAUGGCAAAUAGUAAACAAUACGUUUGGGGAACAAUCCCUCUUUGAGCUUUAUCAUUUAUGGACAAUAUGGCUGGAAAGCAAUAGGGUAUGCUUUGAAGGGAAAAAACAGCACAUAUCGAGGAUUAAGAAUCGACGUCUUUUAAGUUUGUGUUUUUGGUGUACAAGGAGUAUUAAGGAAAAUAUGGAGCAAUACAUGGAAUUCUUAGAAGAGAUAGGAGAUAUGUCGCUUGACAUGUUGGUGGUAGAUGCCGUUUGUUUUGUCAUGUGUACCAUCUUGGUACCUGGUACCUUUUCUCAAUCAAAUCUUACCUUACCAAAAAAUAUUGGAAGGUAAUGAAUAAUGUAGAAAAAAAAGGGUCUUUAACCUAAAAAUAUGGACAACAUAUUGGGCUUUGCUCAAAAGAGUAGUCUAGAGAUCGUGUUCCACAUAGGAAACAAUUACUAUUGUUUUGUUUGUACAACGUUCUUGUCUUGUAAUUGCUAUAUUUCAUCCUCUCUUUUACAGUCUCUUUUUGUUGUACUGGUCUUAAGAAAAGAUUGCUUAUUUUGACACAACUGUGAUUAGCCGAGGUUGAGCGAUUUGCCUCAACUUGCUUACUUUUGACAUUUUGUCAGGGUUCAAGUUCAAAUCACCCUAUAAUUGGAAUUGGACGAACAAACAGAUACAAGAAACCGCAUUUAUUACAAUUAAAGUAGAGAGAUAUUGGGCUGUAAUUUGAAAUGGUAAUUUCUUCUUAAAGGGUAAUCAUUCAGUAGGGAUGGUAAAACCUCUAGAUAUUGUAGGCCUUUGUAUUUGUGUGUUAAAAGAUUUAUAUCUAUGUUCAUGUAUUAGUAAACUCCUGGACAUAUAAGACUCUGUUUUGUUCUUUUUGUGCAUUCGAUUUUCCGCUUUUGAGCAUCUGAUUCGCUGCUAUUCCGUAUCGAAUCUCAUUAGAAAGUAGACCUUUUAUCUCGUAGUAGCCUGCUCCUGUUCCCUUAAGAAACUUUCAUUAUUUGGUUAACCAUAGAGAGGGAUGGCAGAGUUUUUGUUUUUUCCGUGUUGUCAAAGAGUUGAACGAUGGGUUUUUUAAUGUUGUCAAAGAUUUGAACAAUGAAAAUAGAUGGCUAGUGUCUGAUGCUUACUUAACUCGGUAUUUAAAUGAGAUAUUUUCCCAACUU